rnacentral:rRNA from 1 species
UGCGUAGGCGGAUUAAUAAGUCAGUGGUGAAAUCUUUCGGCUCAACCGAGAAACUGCCAUUGAUACUGUUAAUCUUGAGUUCGGUUGAGGUAGGCGGAAUGUGUAAUGUAGCGGUGAAAUGCUUAGAUAUUACACAGAACACCAAUUGCGUAGGCAGCUUACUAGACCGACACUGACGCUGAGGUACGAAAGCGUGGGGAGCGAACAGGAUUAGAUACCCUGGUAGUCC